CAAAUUAAAGCUUAUAAAGUAUUUCAUUUACAUUGAAAAGAAAAUUGUUUAAAUCAAUUAAUUUGA
rnacentral:tRNA from 1 species